rnacentral:rRNA from 1 species
GAUGAACGCUGGCGGCGUGCCUAAUACAUGCAAGUCGAGCGAACAGACGAGGAGCUUGCUCCUCUGACGUUAGCGGCGGACGGGUGAGUAACACGUGGAUAACCUACCUAUAAGACUGGGAUAACUUCGGGAAACCGGAGCUAAUACCGGAUAAUAUAUUGAACCGCAUGGUUCAAUAGUGAAAGACGGUUUUGCUGUCACUUAUAGAUGGAUCCGCGCCGCAUUAGCAAGUUGGUAAGGUAACGGCUUACCAAGGCAACGAUGCGUAGCCGACCUGAGAGGGUGAUCGGCCACACUGGAACUGAGACACGGUCCAGACUCCUACGGGGGGCAGCAGUAGGGAAUCUUCCGCAAUGGGCGAAAGCCUGACGGAGCAACGCCGCGUGAGUGAUGAAGGUCUUCGGAUCGUAAAACUCUGUUAUUAGGGAAGAACAAAUGUGUAAGUAACUAUGCACGUCUUGACGGUACCUAAUCAGAAAGCCACGGCUAACUACGUG